GCAUAGCGGUAUCCUGAGUAACGCGGGACACGAGGAAUCCUGCGCGAAUCUGCCGGGACCAUCCGGUAAGGCUAAAUACUCCCGUGAGACCGAUAGCGAACGAGUACUGUGAAGGAAAGGUGAAAAGAACCCCGAGCAGGGGAGUGAAAUAGUUCCUGAAACCAUACGCCUACAAGCGGUCGGAGCAUCGCAAGAUGUGACGGCGUGCCUUUUGCAUAAUGAUCCUACGAGUUACCGUCACUGGCGAGGUUGAGUGUCACGAGACACGUAGCCGCAGUGAAAGCGAGCCUGAAUAGGGCGCACAGUCAGUGGGGGUAGACGCGAAACCAAGUGAUCUACACUUGGCCAGGAUGAAGUCCCGGUAACACGGGAUGGAGGUCCGCACCAAUAAGCGUUGAAAAGCUUCUGGAUGAGCCGAGUGUAGGAGUGAAAGGCCAAUCAAACUUGGAGAUAGCUCGUACUCCCCGAAAGGCAUUUAGGUGCCGCGUCGGAUGGUCACCGUGAGAGGUAGAGCGACCGAUAGGACAAGAGGGCUUCACCGCCUAUCGAGUCCUGACGAACUCCGAAUGCUCACGGUCUGCAGUCCGGCAGUAAGGGGGCGGGUGCUAAGGUCCGUCCCCGAGAGGAGAAGAAUCCAGACCGCCGUCUAAGGUCCCGGAGUUCUGCCUGAGUUAGUCUAACGAAGUCUGGUCCCUAUGACAGCUAGGAUGUUGGCUUGGAAGCAGCCAUUCAUUCAAAGAGUGCGUAACAGCUCACUAGUCGAGGGUCCGGGCAUGGAUAAUAAUCGGGUAUAAGGCAGACACCGAAGGCGCGGGAUAGCAAUUAUAAAAGUAUCGGUAGGGGAGCAUACUCACAGCGUCGAAUGGUGUACGUAAGUUAUCCUGGAGCGGUGAGUAAAGCAAAUGUAGGAAUAAGUAACGAUAAGGAGGGUUAGAUUCCCUCCCGCUGUAAGACCAAGGUUUCCCGGGCAAUGCCAAUCAGCCCGGGGUCAGUCGGGUCCUAAGUCUAAGCCGAACGGCGAUGGCGAUGGCAGAGACGGUUAAUAUUCCGUCACUGCCGCAUGGGGCGACGUGGAGACGGAGCAGUGAAACCACCGCGGGGCGACGGAAGUCCCCGUUGAAGAGUGUAGGCGUUGAGGAUGGCAGGCAAAUCCACCAUCCGAGCUGAACUUGACAGUACGGAGUCCUCCUCGGAGGAAUCUGAUAGUGUGGGUAAUCAUACUCCCGAGAAAAUCCGCUAAGCUUAACCCAUGCGGCACCCGUACCGCAAACGGACACACGUGGUCGGGUAGAACAUACUAAGGCGUUGAGAGAUUCAUGGUUAAGGAACUAGGCAAAUUGACCCUGUAACUUCGGGAUAAAGGGUCCUCGUGAUGAGCGAGGCGCAGAGAAUAGGUCCAGGCAACUGUUUAACAAAAACACAGGGCUGUGCAAACUCGAAAGAUGACGUAUACAGCCUGACACCUGCCCGGUGCCGGAAGGUUAAGAGGAGAUGUCACUCGCAAGAGGAAGCAUUGAAUUGAAGCCCCGGUAAACGGCGGCCGUAACUAUAACGGUCCUAAGGUAGCGAAAUUCCUUGUCGGGUAAGUUCCGACCUGCACGAAUGGUGUAAUGAUCCGGACGCUGUCUCAACCAUGAGCUCAGUGAAAUUGUAGUAUCGGUGAAGAUGCCGAUUACCCGCGAUGGGACGAAAAGACCCCGUGAACCUUUACUACAGCUUAGCAUUGACCUUGGUCAUCCGAUGUGUAGGAUAGGCCGGAGGCUUCGAAGCGGGAGCGCCAGCUUUCGUGGAGCCAUCCUUGAAAUACGGCCCUUUGGCUGUCUGAGGUCUAACGCGUGAUACGCGGACACUGCUUGGUGGGUAGUUUGACUGGGGUGGUCGCCUCCAAAAGCGUAACGGAGGCUUCCAAAGGUGCCCUCGGGUCGAUUGGUAACCGACCUCAAAGAGUGCAAUGGCAUAAGGGCGCUUGACUGGGAGGCAGACAUGCCGAGCAGGCAGGAAACUGGGGCAUAGUGAUCCGGCGGAUGUGUAUGGAAACUCCGUCGCUCAAAGGAUAAAAGGUACUCCGGGGAUAACAGGCUGAUCCCCCCCAAGAGCUCAUAUCGACGGGGUGGUUUGGCACCUCGAUGUCGGCUCGUCACAUCCUGGGGCUGGAGAAGGUCCCAAGGGUUGGGCUGUUCGCCCAUUAAAGUGGCACGCGAGCUGGGUUCAGAACGUCGUGAGACAGUUCGGUCUCUAUCUAUCGUGGGCGUGGGAGUUUUGAGUGGUGCCGUCACUAGUACGAGAGGACCGUGAUGGACAGACCUCCGGUUUACCAGUUGUGCCGCCAGGCGCACCGCUGGGUAUCUGAGUCUGGAUUGGAUAAGCGCUGAAAGCAUCUAAGUGCGAAGCCAGCCGCAAGAUGAGAACUCCAUUGAGGGUCGUCAGAGACGAUGACGUUGAUAGGAUGCAGGUGUAAAGACAGCGAUGUCAAAGCCGAGCAUUACUAAUUGCCCGAACACUUUCUUUA
rnacentral:rRNA from 1 species